rnacentral:tRNA from 1 species
GCCCCCGUAGCUCAGCCCGGAUAGAGCAAGGGACUCCGGAUCCCUGUGGGGAGGUUCAAAUCCUCUCGGGGGCU